rnacentral:rRNA from 1 species
UACGGGGGGGCAAGCGUUGUUCGGAAUUACUGGGCGUAAAGGGCUCGUAGGCGGCCAACUAAGUCACACGUGAAAUCCCCAGGCUUAACCUGGGAACUGCGUGUGAUACUGGAUGGCUUGAAUUCGGGAGAGGGAUGCAGAAUUCCAGGUGUAGCGGUGAAAUGCGUAGAUAUCUGGAGGAACACCGGUGGCGAAGGCGGCAUCCUGGGACCGAAACUGGACGCUGAGGAGCGAAAGCCAGGGGAGCAA